CCACAGUUAGUUUAAAUAGAAAUAAAUUCUGAGUUAAUCAGAUAUUUAUAUUUUCUAUGCUAACAUUUUGUUUGUGGUGUAUUACAAAUUUUUUCAGCCCUAAUUUAUUAAAAGAAGAAGAUAUAGAUGCUUCUUUUUUUAUAUAUAUAUAUGGUAUAAAAAUCAUAUAUAUAUUUAUAUACAAAAAGUAUGAAAUUAUUAAUUUCAUAUCAUGAAUAAUGUGUACAUCAAAAUUGAUGUAUGCACAAAUGCAUUGAAAUAGAGUAAAAUGUAUUUUAAAAUGAUAAUAUUUUGAAAAUAGGCCAAACAAAGAAGAAAUAUCGUUCUUACAUAAAAUAUUAAAAAAAUAUGUAUUAGAGAACGAAGAUUCUUUUUCAUAAUACGGUAGUAACAUGCGCAUAUAUGCAAUUGCAAAUAUAAAUUAUACUUAUUAAUGAUGAUAUUGCUAAAAAAUUGAUGAGAUAUAAUAAUAUAAUAUUAAUCUCAAACAAUGAAUGGAAUUAAUGAAAACUAAUUUUGCAUAACGCAGUUAAGUGUGCUGUUUUCUUUCGUAUUAUGAUAUAUUUUCAAAUAUAUAGAAAAUAUCAUAUUCUCAUAUAUAUAAUAAAUUUUAUUAUAUAUAUGUAAAAAAGAAUUAUAUU
rnacentral:misc_RNA from 1 species